rnacentral:rRNA from 1 species
GACAGAGGGGGCAAGCGUUGCUCGGAAUUACUGGGCGUAAAGGGCGCGUAGGCGGGAUGGCAAGUCGGUCGUGAAAUCCUUCGGCUCAACCGAAGAACGUCGAUCGAUACUGCUGUUCUUGAGGGUUGCAGAGGAGACUGGAAUUCCCGGUGUAGCGGUGAAAUGUGUAGAGAUCGGGAGGAACACCGGUGGCGAAGGCGGGUCUCUGGGCAAUUCCUGACGCUGAGGUGCGAAAGCGUGGGGAGCAAACAGG